AUUGAACGCUGGCGGCAGGCUUAACACGUGCAAGUCGAGCGGAGAUGAGGUGCUUGCACCUUAUCUUAGCGGCGGACGGGUGAGUAAUGCUUAGGAAUCUGCCUAUUAGUGGGGGACAACAUUCCGAAAGGAAUGCUAAUACCGCAUACGUCCUACGGGAGAAAGCAGGGGAUCUUCGGACCUUGCGCUAAUAGAUGAGCCUAAGUCGGAUUAGCUAGUUGGUGGGGUAAAGGCCUACCAAGGCGACGAUCUGUAGCGGGUCUGAGAGGAUGAUCCGCCACACUGGGACUGAGACACGGCCCAGACUCCUACGGGAGGCAGCAGUGGGGAAUAUUGGACAAUGGGGGAAACCCUGAUCCAGCCAUGCCGCGUGUGUGAAGAGGGCCUUAUGGUUGUAAAGCACUUUAAGCGAGGAGGAGGCUACUGAGACUAAUACUCUUGGAUAGUGGACGUUACUCGCAGAAUAAGCACCGGCUAACUCUGUGCCAGCAGCCGCCGUAA
rnacentral:rRNA from 1 species